rnacentral:rRNA from 1 species
GACGAACGCUGGCGGCGUGCUUAACACAUGCAAGUCGAACGGAAAGGCCCUGCUUUUGUGGGGUGCUCGAGUGGCGAACGGGUGAGUAACACGUGAGUAACCUGCCCUUGACUUUGGGAUAACUUCAGGAAACUGGGGCUAAUACCGGAUAGGAGCUCCUGCUGCAUGGUGGGGGUUGGAAAGUUUCGGCGGGUGGGGAUGGACUCGCGGCUUAUCAGCUUGUUGGUGGGGUAGUGGCUUACCAAGGCUUUGACGGGUAGCCGGCCUGAGAGGGUGACCGGCCACAUGGGGACUGAGAUACGGCCCAGACUCCUCAGGGAGGCAGCAGUGGGGAAUAUAGCACAAUGGGCGGAAGCCGGAUGCAGCAACGCCGCGUGCGGGAUGACGGCCUUCGGGUUGUAAACCGCUUUCGCCUGUGACGAAGCGUGAGUGACGGUAAUGGGUAAAGAAGCACCGGCUAACUACGU